CAUCUCGUGAGAAACAAGCGUCACUACAGAUAACUGAUCUUUUUUUCCGCUCAACUUUUUUUUUUCUUUUUUCAAUUCAACCUUUUAUUCAAACAUUAGGUUUCCACCCAACUUACUUGGUCAAUCAUUGUUUAAACGGAGUGACGUCAUCCACGGGGCAUGAGAAGUACAAUUUCCGGCAUCUGUUUAACAGUUCAAGAUAAUGGGAUUGAAAAAUACAAGCCAAGAUGGCUAUAGGUUAAAAAUGGAAGUGCGGAAAAAAAGCUUUGGUAGUAGUCAGGGAUAGAAGUGCUAUGAAUUGCUUUUCUAGCAGUAAGUAGCCUUGCUGCAAAUGUGUCCACACAGUCUCUGCAACUGCGCCGGUAUUUGCGAUUUUGUUUUGAAGAGGUUUUUUUUCCAACGGAAGUGACGUCUCGUGACUUAGCCAAUUUGAAGUCGAAGUCCGGCCAGGCAGGACCUGCUGUUGGUUCCAUUCAGAGGAAGGACAGGCGAGAACAACCAAGCGAUGGCUCUAAAUGUCAAAACAUCGCGUGUUCUCCUCUUCCAUUGAUGUUAGCCUAUCUUCGGACUAAGCAGAUGUUAGCUGGCCGUUUUUAGCAUGCAGCAAGAGCAGCUCGUCAAGAGAUGUUGGGGGCCGGAAGUGGAUCAUUGCAGUUUCACACCGAAACGGGUCCGCUUGGAGGCGGGACUUAAAGACGGAGGUGGUCCAAUGGAAAUGCUUCCCGCUUUGCUUGGGAGUCAUCGCGAGGAGGAGCAGCAGGUCGUGUCUGUGCAGGUGUGCAGUUUCAGACCCGGAAGCACACCGCUCGCUUGCCCCAGAUGUCUCGCAGGCGAGCCGGGUCACAUCAACCACAUGAUGCCCGCAGGAGGUGGGGUUUCCACUAACCCGUGCAGCUGACUGCUCGAGUUGAUGACAAGAAUGAAGAACCAGAAAAUGGAUAAAGCUGUUUCCUUGGGCUGAGCCCAUUCCAUCCCCGGCCCAACUUGUUGCCUGCCGCCCCGUUGACUUGGAAUGCACUGACUCUUUUGAUAUCACUCCCUCUACACUGACAAGAAAACUUCAUGUACAAUUUGCCAAAGUGAAACAAUCAGAAAUCAAGUAGGACUUUUAUUCAGCGAACCUCCUGACGUAAAUUUUGACUUUGAAUCAGGGGCAAAUUAAAA